UACGUAGGGCGCAAGCGUUGUCCGGAAUUACUGGGCGUAAAGCGUGCGCAGGCGGUUUUGUAAGCCAGGUGUGAAAUCCCCGGGCUCAACCUGGGAAUGGCAUUUGGGACUGCAAGGCUGGAGUGUGGCAGAGGAGACUGGAAUUCCUGGUGUAGCAGUGAAAUGCGUAGAUAUCAGGAGGAAUACCGAUGGCGAAGGCAGGUCUCUGGGCUGACACUGACGCUCAUGCACGAAAGCGUGGGGAGCAAACAGG
rnacentral:rRNA from 1 species